rnacentral:rRNA from 1 species
AUUGAACGCUGGCGGCAGGCCUAACACAUGCAAGUCGAGCGGAUGAAGGGAGCUUGCUCCUGGAUUCAGCGGCGGACGGGUGAGUAAUGCCUAGGAAUCUGCCUGGUAGUGUGGGAUAACGUCCGGAAACGGGCGCUAAUACCGCAUACGUCCUGAGGGAGAAAGUGGGGGAUCUUCGGACCUCACGCUAUCAGAUGAGCCUAGGUCGGAUUAGCUAGUUGGUGGGGUAAAGGCCUACCAAGGCGACGAUCCGUAACUGGUCUGAGAGGAUGAUCAGUCACACUGGAACUGAGACACGGUCCAGACUCCUACGGGAGGCAGCGGUGGGGAAUAUUGGACAAUGGGCGAAAGCCUGAUCCAGCCAUGCCGCGUGUGUGAAGAAGGUCUUCGGAUUGUAAAGCACUUUAAGUUGGGAGGAAGGGCAGUAAGUUAAUACCUUGCUGUUUUGACGUUACCAACAGAAUAAGCACCGGCUAACUUCGUG